rnacentral:rRNA from 1 species
GGGUUGUGAGGUUAAGCGACUAAGCGUACACGGUGGAUGCCCUGGCAGUCAGAGGCGAUGAAGGACGUGCUAAUCUGCGAAAAGCGUCGGUAAGGUGAUAUGAACCGUUAUAACCGGCGAUGUCCGAAUGGGGAAACCCAGUGCAAUUCGUUGCACUAUCGUUAACUGAAUACAUAGGUUAACGAGGCGAACCGGGGGAACUGAAACAUCUAAGUACCCCGAGGAAAAGAAAUCAACCGAGAUUCCCCCAGUAGCGGCGAGCGAACGGGGAGCAGCCCAGAGUCUGAAUCAGCUUGUGUGUUAGUGGAACGGUCUGGAAAGUCCGACGGUACAGGGUGAUAGUCCCGUACACCAAAAUGCACAGGUUGUGAACUCGAAGAGUAGGGCGGGACACGUGGUAUCCUGUCUGAAUAUGGGGGGACCAUCCUCCAAGGCUAAAUACUCCUGACUGACCGAUAGUGAACCAGUACCGUGAGGGAAAGGCGAAAAGAACCCCGGCGAGGGGAGUGAAAAAGAACCUGAAACCGUGUACGUACAAGCAGUGGGAGCACCUUCGGGUGUGACUGCGUACCUUUUGUAUAAUGGGUCAGCGACUUAUAUUCUGUAGCAAGGUUAACCGUAUAGGGGAGCCGCAGGGAAACCGAGUCUUAACUGGGCGUUAAGUUGCAGGGUAUAGACCCGAAACCCGGUGAUCUAGCCAUGGGCAGGUUGAAGGUUGGGUAACACUAACUGGAGGACCGAACCGACUAAUGUUGAAAAAUUAGCGGAUGACUUGUGGCUGGGGGUGAAAGGCCAAUCAAACCGGGAGAUAGCUGGUUCUCCCCGAAAGCUAUUUAGGUAGCGCCUCGUGAACUCAUCUUCGGGGGUAGAGCACUGUUUCGGCUAGGGGGUCAUCCCGACUUACCAACCCGAUGCAAACUACGAAUACCGAAGAAUGUUAUCACGGGAGACACACGGCGGGUGCUAACGUCCGUCGUGAAGAGGGAAACAACCCAGACCGCCAGCUAAGGUCCCAAAGUCAUGGUUAAGUGGGAAACGAUGUGGGAAGGCACAGACAGCCAGGAUGUUGGCUUAGAAGCAGCCAUCAUUUAAAGAAAGCGUAAUAGCUCACUGGUCGAGUCGGCCUGCGCGGAAGAUGUAACGGGGCUAAACCAUGCACCGAAGCUGCGGCAGCGACACUAUGUGUUGUUGGGUAGGGGAGCGUUCUGUAAGCCUGCGAAGGUGUGCUGUGAGGCAUGCUGGAGGUAUCAGAAGUGCGAAUGCUGACAUAAGUAACGAUAAAGCGGGUGAAAAGCCCGCUCGCCGGAAGACCAAGGGUUCCUGUCCAACGUUAAUCGGGGCAGGGUGAGUCGACCCCUAAGGCGAGGCCGAAAGGCGUAGUCGAUGGGAAACAGGUUAAUAUUCCUGUACUUGGUGUUACUGCGAAGGGGGGACGGAGAAGGCUAUGUUAGCCGGGCGACGGUUGUCCCGGUUUAAGCAUGUAGGCUGAUUGUCCAGGCAAAUCCGGAUAAUCAAGGCUGAGGUGUGAUGACGAGGCACUACGGUGCUGAAGUAACAAAUGCCCUGCUUCCAGGAAAAGCCUCUAAGCAUCAGGUAACAUCAAAUCGUACCCCAAACCGACACAGGUGGUCAGGUAGAGAAUACCAAGGCGCUUGAGAGAACUCGGGUGAAGGAACUAGGCAAAAUGGUGCCGUAACUUCGGGAGAAGGCACGCUGGUGUGUAGGUGAAGUCCCUGCGGAUGGAGCUGAGACCAGUCGAAGAUACCAGCUGGCUGCAACUGUUUAUUAAAAACACAGCACUGUGCAAACACGAAAGUGGACGUAUACGGUGUGACGCCUGCCCGGUGCCGGAAGGUUAAUUGAUGGGGUUAUCCGUAAGGAGAAGCUCUUGAUCGAAGCCCCGGUAAACGGCGGCCGUAACUAUAACGGUCCUAAGGUAGCGAAAUUCCUUGUCGGGUAAGUUCCGACCUGCACGAAUGGCGUAAUGAUGGCCAGGCUGUCUCCACCCGAGACUCAGUGAAAUUGAACUCGCUGUGAAGAUGCAGUGUACCCGCGGCAAGACGGAAAGACCCCGUGAACCUUUACUAUAGCUUGACACUGAACAUUGAGCCUUGAUGUGUAGGAUAGGUGGGAGGCUUUGAAGCGUGGACGCCAGUCUGCGUGGAGCCAACCUUGAAAUACCACCCUUUAAUGUUUGAUGUUCUAACGUUGGCCCCUGACCGGGGUUGCGGACAGUGUCUGGUGGGUAGUUUGACUGGGGCGGUCUCCUCCCAAAGCGUAACGGAGGAGCACGAAGGUUAGCUAAUCCUGGUCGGACAUCAGGAGGUUAGUGCAAUGGCAUAAGCUAGCUUGACUGCGAGCGUGACGGCGCGAGCAGGUGCGAAAGCAGGUCAUAGUGAUCCGGUGGUUCUGAAUGGAAGGGCCAUCGCUCAACGGAUAAAAGGUACUCCGGGGAUAACAGGCUGAUACCGCCCAAGAGUUCAUAUCGACGGCGGUGUUUGGCACCUCGAUGUCGGCUCAUCACAUCCUGGGGCUGAAGUAGGUCCCAAGGGUAUGGCUGUUCGCCAUUUAAAGUGGUACGCGAGCUGGGUUUAGAACGUCGUGAGACAGUUCGGUCCCUAUCUGCCGUGGGCGCUGGAGAAUUGAGGGGGGCUGCUCCUAGUACGAGAGGACCGGAGUGGACGCAUCACUGGUGUUCGGGUUGUCAUGCCAAUGGCACUGCCCGGUAGCUAAAUGCGGAAGAGAUAAGUGCUGAAAGCAUCUAAGCACGAAACUUGCCCCGAGAUGAGUUCUCCCUGAGACUUCAAGUCUCCUGAAGGAACGUUAAAGACGAUGACGUUGAUAGGCCGGGUGUGUAAGC